rnacentral:rRNA from 1 species
AUUGAACGCUGGCGGCAGGCCUAACACAUGCAAGUCGAACGAGUGGCGGACGGGUGAGUAAUGUCUGGGAAAAUGCCUGAUGGAGGGGGCUAACUACUGGAAAAGGUAGCUAAUACCGCAUACCAUCGGAUGUGCCCAGAGGGGAUUAGCUAGUAGGUGGGGUAACGGCUCACCUAGGGGACGAUCCCUAGCUGGUCUGAGAGGAGGACCAGCCACACUGGAACUGAGACACGGUCCAGACUCCUACGGGAGGCAGCAGUGGGGAAUAUUGCACAAUGGGCGAAAGCCUGAUGCAGCCAUGCCGCGUGUAUGAAGAAGGCCUUCGGGUUGUAAAAUUCUUUCAGCGGGGAGGCGUUACCCGCAGAGGAAGCACCGGCUAACUCCGUGCCAGCAGCCGCGGUAAUUC